rnacentral:rRNA from 1 species
UGGGGAAUAUUGCACAAUGGGCGCAAGCCUGAUGCAGCCAUGCCGCGUGUGUGAAGAAGGCCUCGGUUGUAAGCACUUUCAGCGAGGAGGAAGGUGGUGAGCUUAAUACGCUCAUCAAUUGACGUUACUCGCAGAAGAAGCACCGGCUAACUCCGUGCCAGCAGCCGCGGUAAUACGGAGGGUGCAAGCGUUAAUCGGAAUUACUGGGCGUAAAGCGCACGCAGGCGGUUUGUUAAGUCAGAUGUGAAAUCCCCGGGGCUCAACCUGGGAACUGCAUUUGAAACUGGCAAGCUAGAGUCUCGUAGAGGGGGGUAGAAUUCCAGGUGUAGCGGUGAAAUGCGUAGAGAUCUGGAGGAAUACCGGUGGCGAAGGCGGCCCCCUGGACGAAGACUGACGCUCAGGUGCGAAAGCGUGGGGAGCAAACAGGAUUAGA